rnacentral:rRNA from 1 species
GGAAUGAACGCUAGCUACAGGCUUAACACAUGCAAGCGAGGGGCAGCAUGUGGUUGCUGCACCAAUGAUGGCGACCGGCGCACGGGUGAGUAACGCGUAUCCAACCUUCCCCUUAGUAGAGGAUAGCCCGGCGAAAGUCGGAUUAACACUCUAUGUUGUAUUUUUGAUGGCAUCUGACGAAUACCAAAGAUUUAUCGCUAAGGGAUGGGGAUGCGUCUGAUUAGGUUGCAGGCGGGGUAACGGCCCACCUGGCCUACGAUCAGUAGGGGUUCUGAGAGGAAGGUCCCCCACACUGGUACUGAGACACGGACCAGACUCCUACGGGAGGCAGCAGUGAGGAAUAUUGGUCAAUGGGCGCGAGCCUGAACCAGCCAAGUAGCGUGCCAGGACGACUGCCCUAUGGGUUGUAAACUGCUUUUAUCAGGGAAUAAAGUGAGGCACGCGUGCCUUUUUGUAUGUACCUGAUGAAUAAGGACCGGCUAAUUCCGUGCCAGCCGCCGC